AUGAACGCUGGCGGCGUGCCUAAUACAUGCAAGUCGAGCGAACGGACGAGAAGCUUGCUUUUCUGAUGUUAGCGGCGGACGGGUGAGUAACACGUGGAUAACCUACCUAUAAGACUGGGAUAACUUCGGGAAACCGGAGCUAAUACCGGAUAAUAUUUUGAACCGCAUGGUUCAAAAGUGAAAGACGGUCUUGCUGUCACUUAUAGAUGGAUCCGCGCUGCAUUAGCUAGUUGGUAAGGUAACGGCUUACCAAGGCAACGAUGCAUAGCCGACCUGAGAGGGUGAUCGGCCACACUGGAACUGAGACACGGUCCAGACUCCUACGGGAGGCAGCAGUAGGGAAUCUUCCGCAAUGGGCGAAAGCCUGACGGAGCAACGCCGCGUGAGUGAUGAAGGUCUUCGGAUCGUAAAACUCUGUUAUUAGGGAAGAACAGAUGUGUAAGUAACUGUGCACAUCUUGACGGUACCUAAUCAGAAAGCCACGGCUAACUACGUG
rnacentral:rRNA from 1 species